CGAUAUUUAUUUAGAGGUUUACCCUUUUUAAAAGUUAUCAAUCUUUAAAUCAAUUCAGUUUAUCAGACAAUGCUGAUUUACUUAAGUUAUAUAUUUACACACUUGUUUAUGAAACAAAUUGCCCUAGUGCCCGGGAUUUCGAGAAAUAACGUUAGCAUUUAGAUAUAUUUGAUGAAAAUGAAAUGCAAUCCAGAACGGAUCUAACACAGCUUGCGAAAGGAAGUUUUAUAUAAAUGUGUUUUUCUGAAAACGAAACAAAAAAGCGAACUAAAGAUAAAUAAAAAGAAUGGGACGAAAAUGUUCUAUAUUUCUGUGGAGUGCUGUCGAUUUACUUCUUUUGGUACUAUUUUCGUAUCAUUGCCUUGGUCAAGAAAGAAAACAUCAUGUUCUUCAUUUGAUAAGCGACGAAACAGAUGACGCUCUUGCAAGCGUUUUCGGAACUGCUGGAAUAAUAUUCAACAUGACAAUUAAGAAAAACAUUUUAGCUAUAUUUAAAGCAAUGUGUUGCUCUGCAGAAGCGAGCAGAUGGCACAAAAUUCUUUCCAUUAUUUCUUUGUGUGUGCGUUGGACUUGCAAUAGCGUUGCUAGCAAAUAUUAAAUAGAACAUACGUAAUGAGUCUUCAAAGUCUUGUGAUAGUAACGUUGUAAAAUUGUAGUUCAAUUGAAUAAAUGUCUUUCACCAUU